UACGAAGGGUGCAAGCGUUAAUCGGAGUUACUGGGCGUAAAGAGUGCGUGGGCGGUUUUCUAAGUUUGGUGUGAAAUCUCCCGGCUUAACUGGGAGGGUGCGCCGAAAACUGGAAGGCUUGAGUAUGGGAGAGGUAAGCGGAAUUCCUGGUGUAGCGGUGAAAUGCGUAGAUAUCAGGAGGAACACCUGCGGUGUAGACGGCUUACUGGACCAUAACUGACGCUGAGGCACGAAAGCGUGGGUAGCAAACAGG
rnacentral:rRNA from 1 species